UGGGGAAUAUUGCACAAUGGGCGCAAGCCUGAUGCAGCCAUGUCGCGUGUACGAAGAAGGCCUUCGGGAUGUAAAGUACUUUCAGUCGGGAGGAAGGUGUCAAGGUUAAUAACCUUGGCAAUUGACGUUACCGACAGAAGAAGCACCGGCUAACUCCGUGCCAGCAGCCGCGGUAAUACGGAGGGUGCAAGCGUUAAUCGGAAUUACUGGGCGUAAAGCGCACGCAGGCGGUUGAUUGAGUCAGAUGUGAAAUCCCCGGGCUUAACCCGGGAACUGCAUUCGGAACUGGCAGGCUAGAGUCUUGUAGAGGGGGGUAGAAUGCCAGGUGUAGCGGUGAAAUGCGUAGAGAUCUGGAGGAAUACCAGUGGCGAAGGCGGCCACCUGGACAAAGACUGACGCUCAGGUGCGAAAGCGGGGGGAGCAAACAGG
rnacentral:rRNA from 1 species